AUACUUAGGGUGCAAGCGUUAAUCGGAAUUACUGGGCGUAAAGCGCUCGUAGGCGGCUUGUUAAGUCGGAUGUGAAAUCCCCGGGCUCAACCUGGGAACUGCAUUCGAUACUGGCAAGCUAGAGUAUAGUAGAGGCAAGUGGAAUUCCGGGUGUAGCGGUGAAAUGCGUAGAUAUCCGGAGGAACAUCAGUGGCGAAGGCGACUUGCUGGACUAAUACUGACGCUGAGGAGCGAAAGCGUGGGGAGCAAACGGGAUUAGAAACCCCGGUAGUCC
rnacentral:rRNA from 1 species